GUUUAACACUUCAUGACUGACAACACAACACAACACAAUCUUCAACAUCACACAAACCAACAAGAACAACAAUGACUUUCAGCAUCAUCUUCAUCUGGACACUCACAGUGUUUAUUACAGAAUCUAAAGGAAUUACUCUGACUCAACCUAGAGUGAAAAGUGUUCAACAGGGACAAACAGCUACAAUAGAGUGUCAUAUAGAUGUAGGAAUAUAUAGCGACUACUUAGCCUGGUAUCAGCAGAAACCUGGAGAAGCUCCUAAACUCCUCAUAUAUGACAUCAGAAGCCUCCAGUCUGGAGUAUCAUCUAGAUUCAGUGGCAGUGGAACAGCAAAUACUGGAAAAGAUUUUACUCUGAGCAUCAGUGGAGUUCAGACUGAAGAUUCAGGAGAUUAUUACUGUCAGAGUUAUCACAGUGGUCCAGUGUUGACACAGUGAUAAAGAGUCGUACAAAAACCUCCGUCAGUCAGACUGAACAGUGACUGCACUGAUACACCUGACACAUACUGCAGCUGAUCAUACAACACACACAAAACAUUGAUCACCAAUAUAUAUAUUUUUUGUAGUUAUGAAGAUAAUAGAAAAUGACUUUAAAAUCCAUACUGACUGUUGAAGGAUCAGUUUAUUUUAGCAUGGUUAUAGUUUAUUUUAUUUGUGUUAAAUUCCCCUGAUUAUUGAUGAACAUAUUAUCAGCAGAACAUACACUGACUCAUUUAUAUAAGAUGUUUUUCUCUGUUUGUGUGUGUUCUUGUAACCAACAUAUCUAAUGAUCUUUAUGAGAUAAACGUUAUGAUCAGAUGCACAAACAGCCGCUGUUCAUCAUCACAACAUUUGUUCAGAGAGUUCAGUGUUCACACCAGUUAAGAGAAAAAAUACAUUUAUAUUUUGAUUAGAAUAUUCAUUUAGUUAAAUUCAUGAUUUAUGUCAAUCAUUUAUGUGCACACACAACUUUAUAAC